UAAAAGUUUUUGAUUUUGGUAUAGGUAUCUCCCAUCAACAUAUAUAUCUCUCCUAACUUCCUCGGUUAAUCGCCGAGGUUUUU
rnacentral:ncRNA from 1 species